GACGAACGCUGGCGGCGUGCCUAAUACAUGCAAGUCGAGCGGACGAAUCGAAAGCUUGCUUUUGAUUCGUUAGCGGCGGACGGGUGAGUAACACGUGGGCAACCUGCCCUGUAGACGGGGAUAACACCGAGAAAUCGGUGCUAAUACCGGAUAACACGAAAUGUCGCAUGACGUUUCGUUGAAAGACGGCGCACGCUGUCGCUACAGGAUGGGCCCGCGGCGCAUUAGCUAGUUGGUGAGGUAACGGCUCACCAAGGCGACGAUGCGUAGCCGACCUGAGAGGGUGAUCGGCCACACUGGGACUGAGACACGGCCCAGACUCCUACGGGAGGCAGCAGUAGGGAAUCUUCCGCAAUGGACGAAAGUCUGACGGAGCAACGCCGCGUGAGCGAAGAAGGCCUUCGGGUCGUAAAGCUCUGUUGUUAGGGAAGAACAAGCAACGCAGUAACUGGCGUUACCGUGACGGUACCUAACGAGAAAGCCACGGCUAACUACGUG
rnacentral:rRNA from 1 species